rnacentral:rRNA from 1 species
AACGAACGCUGGCGGCAUGCCUAACUCAUGCAAGUCGAACGAGACCUUCGGGUCUAGUGGCGCACGGGUGCGUAACGCGUUGGAACCUGCCCUUAGGUUCGGAAUAACUCCCCGAAAGGGGUGCUAAUACCGGAUAAUGUCUUCGGACCAAAGAUUUAUCGCCUUUGGAUGGGCCCGCGUUGGAUUAGCUAGUUGGUAGGGUAAAAGCCUACCAAGGCGACGAUCCAUAGCUGGUCUGAGAGGAUGAUCAGCCACACUGGGACUGAGACACGGCCCAGAAUCCUACGGGAGGCAGCAGUGGGGAAUAUUGGACAAUGGGCGAAAGCCUGAUCCAGCAAUGACGCGUGAGUGAUGAAGGCCUUAGGGUUGUAAAGCUCUUUUACACGGGAUGAUAAUGACAGUACCGGGAGAAUAAGCUCCGGCUAACUCCGUG